GGGUUGUGAGGUUAAGCGACUAAGCGUACACGGUGGAUGCCCUGGCAGUCAGAGGCGAUGAAGGACGUGCUAAUCUGCGAUAAGCGUCGGUAAGGUGAUAUGAACCGUUAUAACCGGCGAUUUCCGAAUGGGGAAACCCAGUGUGAUUCGUCACACUAUCAUUACGUGAAUACAUAGCGUAAUGAAGCGAACCGGGGGAACUGAAACAUCUAAGUACCCCGAGGAAAAGAAAUCAACCGAGAUUCCCCCAGUAGCGGCGAGCGAACGGGGAGCAGCCCAGAGU
rnacentral:rRNA from 1 species